rnacentral:rRNA from 1 species
CCUACGGGAGGCAGCAGUGGGGAAUAUUGCACAAUGGGGGAAACCCUGAUGCAGCGACGCCGCGUGAGUGAAGAAGUAUUUCGGUACGUAAAGCUCUAUCAGCAGGGAAGAAAAUGACGGUACCUGACUAAGAAGCCCCGGCUAACUACGUGCCAGAAGCCGCGGUAAUACGUAGGGGGCAAGCGUUAUCCGGAUUUACUGGGUGUAAGGGAAGCGUAGACGGCAGCGCAAGUCUGGAGUGAAAUCCCAUGGCUUAACCAUGGAACUGCUUUGGAAACUGUGCAGCUAGAGUGCAGGAGAGGUAAGCGGAAUUCCUAGUGUAGCGGUGAAAUGCGUAGAUAUUAGGAGGAACACCAGUGGCGAAGGCGGCUUACUGGACUGUAACUGACGUUGAGGCUCGAAAGCGUGGGGAGCAAACAGGAUUAGAUACCCGGGUAGUC